CCUACGGGUGGCUGCAGUGAGGAAUAUUGGUCAAUGGGCGGAAGCCUGAACCAGCCAAGUAGCGUGCAGGAUGACGGCCCUACGGGUUGUACACUGCUUUUAUACGGGAAUAACGCGCCUUACGUGUAGGGCUUUGCAUGUACCGUAUGAAUAAGGACCGGCUAAUUCCGUGCCAGCAGCCGCGGUAAUACGGAAGGUCCGGGCGUUAUCCGGAUUUAUUGGGUUUAAAGGGAGAGUAGUGGGCAUGUCAAGCGUGCUGUGAAAUGGCCGGGCUCAACCCGGGCCUUGCAGUGCGACCUGGCGUGCUUGAGGCCGCGGAAGGCAGGCGGAAGUCGUGGUGUAGCGGUGAAAUGCUUAGAUAUGACGAAGAACCCCGAUUGCGAAGGCAGCUUGCUGCAGCGGAACUGACGCUGAUGCUCGAAAGCGCGGGUAUCGAACAGGAUUAGAUACCCCAGUAGUC
rnacentral:rRNA from 1 species